GAUAAACGCUGGCGGCGUGCUUAACACAUGCAAGUCGAACGAAGUUUUCCCUUCGGGUGAAGCUUAGUGGCGGACGGGUGAGUAACGCGUGGGUAACCUGCCCUGUACAGGGGGACAACAGCUGUAAACGGCUGCUAAUACCGCAUAAGCCCUUUGCACUGCAUGGUGCAUAGGGAAAGGGAGCAAUCCGGUACAGGAUGGACCCGCGUCUGAUUAGCCCGUUGGCAGGGUAAGGGCCUACCAAAGCGACGAUCAGUAGCCGAUCUGAGAGGAUGUACGGCCACAUUGGGACUGAGACACGGCCCAGACUCCUACGGGAGGCAGCAGUGGGGAAUAUUGCGCAAUGGAGGAAACUCUGAUGCAGCCACGCCGCGUGAGUGAAGAAGUAUUUCGGUAUGUAAAGCUCUAUCAGCAGGGAAGAAAAUGACGGUACCUGACGAAGAAGCACCGGCUAACUACGUG
rnacentral:rRNA from 1 species